rnacentral:rRNA from 2 species
UACGAAGGUCCCGAGCGUUGUUCGGAAUCACUGGGCGUAAAGGGAGCGUAGGCGGCGUGGUAAGUCAGAUGUGAAAUCCCGGGGCUCAACCCCGGAACUGCAUCCGAUACUGCCGUGCUAGAGGAUUGGAGAGGUAGCUGGAAUUCUUGGUGUAGCAGUGAAAUGCGUGGAUAUCAAGAGGAACACUCGUGGCGAAAGCGAGCUACUGGACAACUCCUGACGCUGAGGCUCGAAGGCCAGGGUAGCGAAAGGG